GGAUAUGAGGGCAAUUGGGCUGUGACAUCACUCCUCACCCCAUUGAUCACCUCCAUUGUUGAUUUGGCUGCCCUAGCUGGCUGAGUGACUGUCCCCUUCCUCCUUCACCACAGCACAUGCCCCCGUCCUUAAGCUGCACAUUUGGUCAGAGGAUGACCUCCCCUAUUAGAGGACUGUUCCUGGGUCAAGGGAAUGUGAGUAAGCUGAGUAAGCUGUGCUCCCUGCUAGAACCUUCACAAGAACUCUCAAGGAGUAGGGAAGGGCACCUGACCUGUGAGGACAGGCUCCCAGAUCCUGAGGAAGUCU
rnacentral:snRNA from 1 species